AAUGCGUUGAUAUCAUAGAGGAACACCAAAGGCGAAGGCAUUAGAUUGGCACACUCCAGACACUGAGCAGCGAAAGCGUGGGUAGCGAAUGGGAUUAGAUACCCCAGUAGUCCACGCCCUAAACUAUGCAUAUUAGGCAUUGAGAGUAUCGACCCUUUCAGUGUCGUAGCUAACGCGUUAAAUAUGCCGCCUGGGAAGUACGGUCGCAAGACUAAAACUCAAAGGAAUAGACGGGGAUCCGCACAAGUAGAGGAUCAUGUGGUUUAAUUCGAUGGUAAGCGAGAAACCUCACCAAGGUUUGAAACUAGGCUGCAAGCCUCAGCAAUGAGGCCGCCUUCGAGGGUGCCUAGCAGGUGCCGCAUGGUCGUCGUCAGCUCGUGUCGUAAGAUGUUCCG
rnacentral:rRNA from 1 species